GAUGAACGCUGGCGGCGUGCUUAACACAUGCCAGUCGAACGGGAAACCUUUUAUUGAAGCUUCGGCAGAUUUAGCUGGUUUCUAGUGGCGGACGGGUGAGUAACGCGUGGGUAACCUGCCUUAUACAGGGGGAUAACAACCAGAAAUGGUUGCUAAUACCGCAUAAGCGCACAGGACCGCAUGGUCCGGUGUGAAAAACUCCGGUGGUAUAAGAUGGACCCGCGUUGGAUUAGCUAGUUGGCAGGGUAACGGCCUACCAAGGCGACGAUCCAUAGCCGGCCUGAGAGGGUGAACGGCCACAUUGGGACUGAGACACGGCCCAGACUCCUACGGGAGGCAGCAGUGGGGAAUAUUGCACAAUGGGGGAAACCCUGAUGCAGCGACGCCGCGUGAAGGAAGAAGUAUCUCGGUAUGUAAACUUCUAUCAGCAGGGAAGAUAGUGACGGUACCUGACUAAGAAGCCCCGGCUAACUACGUG
rnacentral:rRNA from 1 species